GGAGGGGUGGGAAUCCUCUUUUUCCUGGGGGGAAAAAAAAAAGCAAUUUUUUAUUGUUAAUUGACGAAGAAAGCGGCUGGAGCAGAGGGGGUUGAUCUCGCGCCAUGGAGCUCAGUGGCUUGGUACAGGACUCUGCAAAGGAGCACCCUUCUGGGGACACUGGGGAUGUACCCCUCGGGCCACCCCAAGCACAUGAGCUUGGAUGUAAAAAGAAGCCAGAUAGAUUCGAGCUGAGGAUGUUGAAGUAUUAGACAAAGCGGUUCCUGUUCCUCCUGAAGUAGGCUUGUGAAGACUCAGCUGCUGAUGAGAGAGCUGGAUUCGAACUGCUCCAGGGUGGCUGCCCCAGGAUGGCAGAUGAUACAGAGCACUUCUGUACCUCUGCGUCUGUUACUUGGUCACAGGGACUAGUUUUGAACCAGCAGCACCAAACAAUCCAGAAGGGCUGUGUCUGGUAGGGUAUCUAGACCCAUGCCUGUUGCACAAGGGCAACACUGAGAAUUAGAGGAGAAAUCGGUACGUAUCCGUCCAGCAGCAGCUAGAAAGGAGGUCCAGGUCUUCACAGGCACAGUACCUAUCACUUCCAUCCAAGGGCGACGUGUAGGGGAUGCGCACAGGUGCAUGUGCACCCCCUGAGUGUGGCAGUCCACUCCCUACAAAAAGAUGUUCGCAGCACCUGCAGGUGGUCACUGCUCACCACCCUACCACCAGCGGCAUCUGCAGGCGGUCCACAAUCCCUGGUAGUCGCUGCCGACGACAGCAGUGAGUGGUCGCUGACCCUUGGUUGGUGCUCAUCAGCAUUGGCGGCAUCUGUGGGACCUCCCUGCUUACUGCUGCCAUGCUCCUGCCACAGCCAUGCUCGCCCAGACACUGGGGCACAAGUCACUCAUGCUUCCAUCUCCCCCAAAUGGGCACUUCCUUAUGCCCCCCACCCCCAAUGCCAUUUUGUGUUAAUAAACCUGAUGGCAGCCCUAAAUAGCAUUGCUUCACCUCCUGAUACCCUCUGAAUAUUUUGAGUGUAUUGCAUUCAUCUGUGUCUGAAAGUCUGAAGUAUAAAAGCUCUGGCUGAAAGAUACAAGUAUUAACAUGUAAACGCCUUUAAUCCUAAAGCAGAGGUCUGAGUUGGACAGCAUGGUAGAAGUCAGACAUGGGAAGACAGGGGCUCUAAUACUGCAGCACCAACCCGACUUGAAAGUGGGUGCGCAGGGGAACUGCCCCAGUGAAACAGGAAAAGCUAGAACCUGCUGGUCUAACUUAGGGGAGGAGGCCAGGAUGCCCCUGGCUUUUUCCUGUUUCUUUCAGACUACAUCAUAAUGCAUCAU